ACUCAACGUUAAAUUGUUUAAAAAGGGUGAGUUUAGGUUGUAAAAGCAGGCCUUGUAUUCUAAUAGGAUCCUUGAGCAAUCUGUUAGCCCUAAACUUGUUAUUUUGGAGUUU
rnacentral:sRNA from 1 species